GAUGAGCGCUGGCGGCAUGCCUAAUACAUGCAAGUCGAACGAGAGGAAGGAAAGCUUGCUUUUCUGAAUCUAGUGGCGAACGGGUGAGUAACACGUAGGUAACCUGCCCAUGUGCCCGGGAUAACUUCUGGAAACGGAUGCUAAAACCGGAUAGGUAGCAGACAAGCAUUUGACUGCUAUUAAAGUGGCUAAGGCCAUGAACAUGGAAGGACCUGCGGUGCAUUAGCUAGUUGGUGAGGUAACGGCCCACCAAGGCGACGAUGCAUAGCCGGCCUGAGAGGGCGGACGGCCACAUUGGGACUGAGACACGGCCCAAACUCCUACGGGAGGCAGCAGUAGGGAAUUUUCGUCAAUGGGGGGAACCCUGAACGAGCAAUGCCGCGUGAGUGAGGAAGGUCUUCGGAUCGUAAAGCUCUGUUGUAAGAGAAAAACGACAUUCAUAGGGAAUGAUGAGUGAGUGAUGGUACCUUGCCAGAAAGUCACGGCUAACUACGUGCCAGCCGCCGCCGUAAAAC
rnacentral:rRNA from 1 species